UGGGGAAUAUUGGACAAUGGGCGAAAGCCUGAUCCAGCCAUGUCGCGUGUGUGAAGAAGGUCUUCGGAUUGUAAAGCACUUUAAGUUGGGAGGAAGGGCAGUAAGCGAGUACCUUGCUGUUUUGACGUUACCGACAGAAUAAGCACCGGCUAACUCUGUGCCAGCAGCCGCGGUAAUACAGAGGGUGCAAGCGUUAAUCGGAAUUACUGGGCGUAAAGCGCGCGUAGGUGGUUCGUUAAGUUGAAUGUGAAAGCCCCGGGCUCAACCUGGGAACUGCAUCCGAAACUGGCGAGCUAGAGUAGGGCAGAGGGUGGUGGAAUUUCCUGUGUAGCGGUGAAAUGCGUAGAUAUAGGAAGGAACACCAGUGGCGAAGGCGACCACCUGGGCUCAUACUGACACUGAGGUGCGAAAGCGUGGGGAGCAAACAGG
rnacentral:rRNA from 1 species